AGCUUUGCGCAGUGGCAGUAUCGUAGCCAAUGAGGUUUAUCUGAGGUGCGAUUAUUGCUAAUUGAAAACAUCUGGGGCGUCCAGGUGGCUCCAUCAGUUAAGUGUCCAGCUCUUGGUUUCAGCUCAGAUUAUGAUCU